rnacentral:ribozyme from 1 species
UAUACCAACCAUUAAUAAUAUACCCAAAAUAUGAAGAAAGAAAUGAAAAGUGAUCAUAAAGACCAAUUUUCUAUUUGUUUUCUCUUUUUAUUCCUCUUCAUAAUAAUUCUUUUAUCUUCGUUCUUUCUUUCUCUUGGGAUAUUAAAAGAAGCAUGAACAGAAACCAGAGAGAGACACAUGAUUGUAAUUCAGUUCUUUCUUCCUUUCAUUCUAACUUCGUUCUUUCUCUUUUAAAUAGAAUGGAAAUGAAGAGGAAUAGGAUUCACUUCGCUCACUCGUGAUUU